rnacentral:tRNA from 1 species
AAGAAUAUAGUUUAAUGGUAAAACUAUUGACUUCAAAUCAAUCAUUAAGAGUUCAAAUCUCUUUGUUCUUG